CCCCCCUCAGGGUCACACCUGGAGAGUUUCCAGACUCUCCCAGUCUUGACUAUGGGAGGAAGAGUCAAGCAGAGGCCUACCCAUUCCAUUUCUAACUUGGGUGCUGGUUAGAGAGUGGAAGGCAAUCUGCGACAAGU